UUUCAUGUCUUUCUUAUUUAAAAAGGCCUUCAUAAAUAGUCGUAAACAGGGAAAGAAUUCAUUAACAACGCUUGUCAAGAAAGGGUCACACUAAACAUUGUACAACUUAUUUAAAACAUGGUAUAAAAUUAAAUGUACCAUUAUCUACUCACCGUAGACCUAAAUGCUGUUUAAAGAGGCCAAAUGGUAUCAAGCUGCUUGAGUGGCACGUUAAAACUACGCAAAACCAAAUCUUGUUUAAAAACUGGUUUUAAAAUAACUACUGAUUUUCUGAAAACGAUGUGAACAGUUUUCAUCUUGUUGAGCGUUUUUUCACUAGUGCAACUUUGGAUUUUUUAUGAGACUUUUGGUGCCUUAAUGAACACCUCGCUCCAUGCUGGAAAAGCACUAAGCAAAAGCUUUUAAAGACAUUCUGACUUGACUAAUUGAGGUCGCACUCGCCAAGGCUGAGGAUGUGUAACCCUUAAACGGUCUUCAUUUUCAAAGGACGUGUCGGCCGGCCGCCUGGGAAAGUCACGGGAGCCGGUGGUGCCCGGGGAGCAGACAGAGGAACUUUCCUUCCAAUUACGGACUGCUUAAGAAUGGUCAGCUCACCAUCGUGCCUCGUCAGGGAACGAAUUCGCUUGGGAACUUGAAAAUCAUCCUUUUUAAGGAAUUUUGUUUUACAAAAUGUUUUAUAAAACGGUAUGCUUUUUAAUUUGGAAAGCCUGUUAAAAAUAGGGGGAAAGAAAAUCUUGCUGUCUCCUGGUAACAGAAAACAGAUGAUUUGUGUAUUAAUAAUAAAGGCUGCCCAUUUCAA